rnacentral:rRNA from 1 species
AACCCAUACCGCCGGCUAAGGUCCCAAAUGAUAGAUUAAGUGGUAAACGAAGUGGGAAGGCACAGACAGCCAGGAUGUUGGCUUAGAAGCAGCCAUCAUUUAAAGAAAGCGUAAUAGCUCACUGGUCGAGUCGUCCUGCGCGGAAGAUGUAACGGGGCUCAAAUCUAUAACCGAAGCUGCGGAUGCCGGUUUACCGGCAUGGUAGGGGAGCGUUCUGUAGGCUGAUGAAGGUGCAUUGUAAAG